rnacentral:tRNA from 1 species
UCCCAGGUGGUUCAGUGGCUGAGACUCCACACUCUUAAUGUAAGGAGCCUAGGUUUGAUUCCUGGUCAGGGAA